rnacentral:rRNA from 1 species
UACGUAGGGUCCAAGCGUUAUCCGGAAUUACUGGGCGUAAAGCGUGCGCAGGCGGCGCGUUAAGUGAGAUGUGAAAUCUAGCGGCUCAACCGCCAGACUGCAUCUCAUACUGGCGUGCUAGAGGAUGGCAGAGGCAAGUGGAAUUUGUAGUGUAGCAGUGAAAUGCGUAGAUAUUACAAGGAACACCAAUGGCGAAGGCAGCUUGCUGGGCCACACCUGACGCUCAGGCACGAAAGCGUGGGGAGCGAACAGG